CAGGUGUGAGCCACCGUGCCUGGCCUCUUGCUGUUUCAUUAUCCAUUAGAUGUGCAGUGUUAUUAUCUUGGUUCUGUCUGCUCCUGCCCUGUCUCUGAGUUGUUGCCUCACCACGUCACAGUCUUAUGAGCUCUUUUUUUUUUUUUUCUUUUAGAUGGAGUCUUGCUCCGUUGCCCAGGCUAGAGCACAGUGGCGCGAUCUUGGCUCACCGCAACCUCCACCUCCCAGGUUGAAUUAAAAAAUCAGACUCCAACUGAGGAUCACACAUUGCAUUUAGCAGAAAUGUAUCUUUAGUCUGCUUUAGUUGCCAUAACAAAAUACCAUAGACUGAUUGGCUUACACAAUAGAGAUUUAUUUUCUUGUCCUUCUGGAGGCUGGAAAGUCCAAGAUCGUGGUGUCAGCAUGAUCAGCUCCCAGUGAGGGCUCUCUUCCUGGCUUGCUGUCUUCUUCCUGUGACCCCCACAGGGGACAGAGAGAGAGAGAGAGAGAGAGAGAGAGAGAGAGAGAGAGGGAGAGAAGAGAAAGAAGAGAAGAGAGAGAAGAGAGAGAGACAGGAGAGAGAGAGAGAGAGAGAAGAGAAGAGAAGAGAGAGAAGAGAGAACACACUCAAGAAUGCUUUCUGUGCUAAGUGUGGUGGCUCAUACCUGUAAUCCCUGCACUUUGGGAAGCUGAGGCAGGAGGAUUGCUUGAAUCCAGGAGUCAAGACCAGCCUGGGGAGCAUAAUGAGACCUUGUCUCUACAAAAAAUAAAUAAAUUAACAAAAUUAGCUGGGCAUGGUGACACAUGCCUGUAGUCCCAGCUACUUGGGAGGCUGAGGUGAGAGAAUCACUUGAGCCCGGGAGGUCAAGGCUGCAGUGAGCUGAGAUUGGGCCACUGUACUCUAGCCUGGGCAAUGGAGGAAGAUCGUGUCUCAAAAAAAAAAAAAAAAAGAAAAGAAAAGGAAAAGAAAAGAAAAACAGAAGUGCUUUCCGGUGUCUCUUAUUAUAAGAGUACUAAUCCCCUCAUGAAGGCCCCACCCUUUGACCUCAUCUAACCCUAUGACCUCCCAAAGGCUCUAUCUCCAAAUACCAUCACACUGGGAGUUUGGUCUGCAAUAUAGAAAUUUUGGGAGGAUACUGUUUAGUCC
rnacentral:lncRNA from 10 species